UACCAGCACCCCGAGUGGUCGGGACGAUUAUUGGGCCUAAAGCAUCCGUAGCCGGUCCUACAAGUCUUCCGUUAAAUCCACCUGCUUAACAGAUGGGCUGCGGAAGAUACUAUAGGGCUAGGAGGCGGGAGAGGCAAGCGGUACUCAGUGGGUAGGGGUAAAAUCCUCUGAUCCAUUGAAGACCACCAGUGGCGAAGGCGGCUUGCCAGAACGCGCUCGACGGUGAGGGAUGAAAACUGGGGGAGCAAACCGG
rnacentral:rRNA from 1 species